GGUCCCAUAGCUCAGUUGGUCAGAGCGUCGUACUAAUACUUUCAGUCCUCGGACGGUCAGCAUUGAGUAAUGCGAAGGUCGAGAGUUCAAGCCUCUCUGGGACCA
rnacentral:tRNA from 1 species